rnacentral:rRNA from 1 species
UCCGUAGGCGGAUUGAUAAGUCAGAGGUGAAAUCCCACAGCUUAACUGUGGAACUGCCUUUGAAACUGUUAGUCGUGAGUUAUAUGGAAGUAGAUAGAAUGUGUAGUGUAGCGGUGAAAUGCAUAGAGAUUACACAGAAUACCGAUUGCGAAGGCAGUCUACUACGUAUAUACUGACGCUAAUGGACGAAAGCGUGGGGAGCGAACAGGAUUAGAUACCCUGGUAGUCC